UAAUUGAAGAGUUUGAUCAUGGCUCAGAUUGAACGCUGGCGGCAGGCCUAACACAUGCAAGUCGAGCG
rnacentral:ncRNA from 7 species